rnacentral:misc_RNA from 1 species
UGUGGGAGCGAGCCUGCUCGCGAUGGCGGCGGCAUGUCUAACAUCAAUGUAAACUGACCCACCGCUAUCGCGAGCAGGCUCGCUCCCACA